AGGCAGCAGUUGGGAAUCCUCCACGAUGGACGCAAGUCUGAUGGAGCAACGCCACGUGAGUGAAGAAGGGUUUCGGCUCGUAAAGCUCUGUUGUUGGUGAGGAAGGACAGGGGUAGUAACUGACCUUUGUUUGACGGUAAUCAAUUAGAAAGUCACGGCUAACUACGUGCCAGCAGCCGCGGUAAUACGUAGGUGGCAAGCGUUGUCCGGAUUUAUUGGGCGUAAAGCGAGUGCAGGCGGCUCGAUAAGUCUGAUGUGAAAGCCUUCGGCUCAACCGGAGAAUUGCAUCAGAAACUGUCGAGCUUGAGUACAGAAGAGGAGAGUGGAACUCCAUGUGUAGCGGUGAAAUGCGUAGAUAUAUGGAAGAACACCGGUGGCGAAGGCGGCUCUCUGGUCUGUUACUGACGCUGAGGCUCGAAAGCAUGGGUAGCGGACAGGAUUAGAUACCCUAGUAGUCC
rnacentral:rRNA from 1 species